AUACGAAGGGUGCAAGCGUUACUCGGAAUUACUGGGCGUAAAGCGUGCGUAGGUGGUUGUUUAAGUCUGUCGUGAAAGCCCUGGGCUUAACCUGGGAAUGGCGAUGGAAACUGGGCGACUAGAGUGUGGCAGAGGGUAGUGGAAUUCCUGGUGUAGCAGUGAAAUGCGUAGAGAUCAGGAGGAACAUCCGUGGCGAAGGCGACUGCCUGGGCCAACACUGACACUGAGGCACGAAAGCGUGGGGAGCAAACAGGAGUAGAUACCCUGGUAGUCCACGCCCUAAACGAUGCGAACUGGAUGUUGGGUGCAAUUUGGCACGCAGUAUCGAAGCUAACGCGUUAAGUUCGCCGCCUGGGGAGUACGGUCGCAAGACUGAAACUCAAAGGAAUUGGCGGGG
rnacentral:rRNA from 1 species